rnacentral:lncRNA from 1 species
AGUACAAAGCGGGCUGGUGGCCGCUUUGCGGCACUGCCCCGGCCGCGCGCCUCCCGGGGGGCCCACACCCCUGCGUUCCUGAAACCCUUCUUUUGAAAAAUGCCCUUUCGAACGCAACCGUCCGCCCCAGAGCCACGCGGGCACGGCUCGAGGGAAGUUUGUUUCCUUUUUCAAAUUGCUCCGGUCACCUUAACGGUUUGAGUCUUCCGGAGUCACGCCCGCAGCCUCGCUGCCCCCAUCUGGCUUGGGCAGGGCCGAAGCUCGUCUCCCGCUUUAAGAGCGCGCCAGCCAUUUCUCUGCCUGCUCUUCCAGGCCGGCUGGGCGGGGGGCCUCCCAACGGCUUCCUCUCCAGUUUUCAAAGGCUGCACAUUUCACUUAACUAUUUGAAGUAUUUAUAGGCAAAUACAAUACGCAGGGAAGCUUCCCGCCCCGAGACAGCUCCUCCACGCAACCUACCACAGACUCUGUAAUUAGAGUGGCCUGAAGAAGCCGGGAGAGGCUCCAUGACCCCGGCAGGCUCUGGCCAAACCUUGCUGCGUUUCAUGGAGCCCCUCCCUGUCCGCGCCUGGGACGCACUGGCCCCAACAGGUUCCUCGACUCGAAUUCGCUGUUUGGGUUGCUCUGUGGUUUCCUCGCUGACUGAAAGUGGAUGAGAAUAAGAAGGAAACUGAGAGAUGAUCAGGCAGGCCAGCCUUCGCGAUUUAUGAAUGAGGAGCCUCCCACCCUGUAGAACUGCUUGGAUUAGAAGUGGGCAAGUUAUUUAAGCUUACAUGCAUGCUUAUAAAGCUUCUGUUUUCACAUGUAGUAAGGUGGAGGCUUGACGACAUUUACCUAAUGAGCUGUUGUUUGGAUUAAAUGAGAUGGUUGGUGCAUGGCAGUCAUUUAGCACAAGUACCUGGCAAUGUAAGAGACCAAUAAAAGCUGGGCUUUAUUUUCCCUGUUGUUAAAUUACUGCUGCUUUCCCCCAAAGUCAUCUCUGUUUAUAAACUAUUUGUCUUUCUUCUUUGUUUCCAGGACACUUUGUGCCCACCCUAUAGCCUGAUCUUCAGUGCUGAUAGCAUUGAUUUAGAAUAACUCAGAUGCUAUUAACUCUGUCCCCCUGGAAUUCAUGUUAAACCCGUAAUCCCCAGUGUGAUGGUAUUAGGAGGUGGGGAACUUUAGGAGGUAAUAAGGUCAAGACAGUGGAGCCCUCAUGAUAGGAUUAGCACUCUUAUUAGAAGAGACAGGAGAGAGAUGCUUUCUUACUGCCUUGUGAGGACACAGAAGGCAGUCUUCUGUGGACCAGGAAGAGGGCCCUUACCAAGAAUCUGAUACCGUGUUGGCAUCCUAGUCUCAGACUUCCAGCCUCUAGUACUGUAAGAAAUAAAUGUUUGUUGUUUAAGCCAUCCUGUUUAUGGUAUUUUUGUUAUAGUGGCCCAAAGUGACAAAGAUCUCAGACCAGAGGAAACAUCAAAGUCUUAACCUCUGAAGCAUUAAGAAAUGAGAAGGCACCUUCUUAGCCAUUCUAGGUAGCAACUUUCUACUCUAGUUAGGCUGAAAUGCACGGCCCUGUCUAUGUCUGUUUCAGUUAUCCUCCCUCUCUCUGAAAUCAAGUCACACAUCAUUCAUGCUACUUACUUAACACUUUGCCCUUUGCCAUCUGAUGCCACCUCCCGUACUAUUGUCUCCCAUUAUUUAACCUGUUAUUUAUUGUUUCAUGCAUUCAUUUUCAUCUUAGAGAAUAAACAUCUUGGAAUUAGGA